rnacentral:rRNA from 1 species
CAUGCCUACGGGAGGCAGCAGUGGGGGAUAUUGCACAAUGGGGGAAACCCUGAUGCAGCGACGCCGCGUGGGUGACGAAGUAUUUCGGUAUGUAAAGCCCUAUCAGCAGGGAAGAAGAUGACAGUACCUGACUAAGAAGCCCCGGCUAACUACGUGCCAGCAGCCGCGGUAAUACGUAGGGGGCAAGCGUUAUCCGGAUUUACUGGGUGUAAAGGGAGCGCAGGCGGCGUGGCAAGUCAGAUGUGAAAACCCGGGGCCCAACCCCGGGAGUGCAUUUGAAACUGCCAUGCUGGAGUGCCGGAGAG